rnacentral:rRNA from 1 species
UACGAAGGGGGCUAGCGUUGUUCGGAAUUACUGGGCGUAAAGCGCACGUAGGCGGACUACUAAGUCAGGGGUGAAAUCCCGGGGCUCAACCCCGGAACUGCCUUUGAUACUGAUAGUCUCGAGUCCGGAAGAGGUGAGUGGAAUUCCGAGUGUAGAGGUGAAAUUCGUAGAUAUUCGGAGGAACACCAGUGGCGAAGGCGACUCACUGGUCCGGUACUGACGCUGAGGUGCGAAAGCGUGGGGAGCAAACAGG